rnacentral:rRNA from 1 species
GACGAACGCUGGCGGCGUGCCUAAUACAUGCAAGUCGAGCGAACGGACGAGAAGCUUGCUUCUCUGAUGUUAGCGGCGGACGGGUGAGUAACACGUGGAUAACCUACCUAUAAGACUGGGAUGACUUCGGGAAACCGGAGCUAAUACCGGAUAAUAUUUUGAACCGCAGUGUUCAAAAGUGAAAGACGGUCUUGCUGUCACUUAUAGAUGGAUCCGGGCUGCAUUAGCUAGUUGGUAAGGUAACGGCUUACCAAGGCAACUAUGCAUAGCCGACGGGAGAGAGUGAUCGGCCACCCGGGAGCUGAGACGCGGACCUGACUCCUGCGAGAGGCAGCAGAAGGGAAUGUGCCGCAGUGGGCGGGAGCCUGGCGGAGCAACGCCACGUGAGUGAUGAAGGUCUUCGGAGCGUAAAACUCUGUUAUUGGGGAUAAACAGAUGUGUAAGUAACUGUGCACAUCUUGACGGUACCUAGUCAGAAAGCCACGGCUAACUACGUG